rnacentral:rRNA from 1 species
GAUGAACGCUGGCGGCGUGCUUAACACAUGCAAGUCGAACGGAAAGGCUCCUGCUUGCAGGGGUACUCGAGUGGCGAACGGGUGAGUAACACGUGGGUGAUCUGCCCUGCACUUCGGGAUAAGCCUGGGAAACUGGGUCUAAUACCGGAUAGGACGAUGGUUUGGAUGCCAUUGUGGAAAGUUUUUCGGUGUGGGAUGAGCUCGCGGCCUAUCAGCUUGUUGGUGGGGUAAUGGCCUACCAAGGCGUCGACGGGUAGCCGGCCUGAGAGGGUGUACGGCCACAUUGGGACUGAGAUACGGCCCAGACUCCUACGGGAGGCAGCAGUGGGGAAUAUUGCACAAUGGGCGCAAGCCUGAUGCAGCAACGCCGCGUGGGGGAUGACGGCCUUCGGGUUGUAAACUCCUUUCGCUAGGGACGAAGCGCAAGUGACGGUACCUGGAGAAGAAGCACCGGCUAACUACGUG